rnacentral:rRNA from 1 species
GGCGUAAGGGCUCGCAGGCGGUUUCUUAAGUCUGAUGUGAAAGCCCCCGGCUCAACCGGGGAGGGUCAUUGGAAACUGGGAAACUUGAGUGCAGAAGAGGAGAGUGGAAUUCCACGUGUAGCGGUGAAAUGCGUAGAGAUGUGGAGGAACACCAGUGGCGAAGGCGACUCUCUGGUCUGUAACUGACGCUGAGGAGCGAAAGCGUGGGGAGCGAACAGGAUUAGAUACCCUGGUAGUCCACGCCGUAAACGAUGAGUGCUAAGUGUUAGGGGGUUUCCGCCCCUUAGUGCUGCAGCUAACGCAUUAAGCACUCCGCCUGGGGAGUACGGUCGCAAGACUGAAACUCAAAGGAAUUGACGGGGGCCCGCACAAGCGGUGGAGCAUGUGGUUUAAUUCGAAGCAACGCGAAGAACCUUACCAGGUCUUGACAUCCUCUGACAACCCUAGAGAUAGGGCUUUCCCUUCGGGGACAGAGUGACAGGUGGUGCAUGGUUGUCGUCAGCUCUUGUCGUGAGAUGUUGGGUUAAGUCCCGCAACGAGCGCAACCCUUGAUCUUAGUUGCCAGCAUUUAGUUGGGCACUCUAAGGUGACUGCCGGUGACAAACCGGAGGAAGGUGGGGAUGACGUCUAAUCAUCAUGCCCCUUAUGACCUGGGCU